UACGUAGGUGGCGAGCGUUGUCCGGAAUCAUUGGGCGUAAAGCGCGUGUAGGCGGCCCGGUAAGUCCGCUGUGAAAGUCGGGGGCUCAACCCUCGAAUGCCGGUGGAUACUGUCGGGCUAGAGUACGGAAGAGGCGAGUGGAAUUCCCAGUGUAGCGGUGAAAUGCGUAGAUAUCGGGAGGAACACCGGUGGCGAAGGCGGCCCCCUGGUUGGAUACUGACGCUGAGACGCGAAAGCGUGGGGAGCAAACAGG
rnacentral:rRNA from 1 species